CCAAUCCCGGCUCGGGGAGGUAGUGACGAAAAAUAACGAUGCGGGACUCUUCCGAGGCCUCGCAAUCGGAAUGAGUUCAAUUUAAAAAAAUGGACGAGGAUCCAUUGGAGGGCAAGUCUGGUGCCAGCAGCCGCGGUAACUCCAGCUCCAAUAGCGUAUAUUAAAGUUGCUGCGGUUAAAAAGCUCGUAGUUGGAUUUCUGAUGCGAACCGGGAGCCCACCCGAGGCUCGCCCUCGUCUCCGGACGGGAGCGGCGCCUAAGGGGUCUAAGGCGUCUCUCCCGCUUUCUCGUUCGGCGGCCGCGGCGGCGAGAGGUCGAGGGGGGUCGGUCGCGAGUAGUCACUGCUCGUUCCCUUCUCUCGUCUCCUUCUCUCAUCCGUCGUCUCCCCGGAAGGGUUCGGUCGCCAGUGAAGCGCGAGUUCCGGGAAUGAAAAAGGGUAGUGGUAGCGGCACUAAAAGUAGAAGUACGAAUGCGACCAGCGGCGGGGGAGGGGCGUGCUGCAGCCGCCUCCAGUAGCGCGUCGUCUCCUCCUCGUUGGAAAAAGGAAGGAAGUCGUUUCAUCAAACGCUUUCUUCGAUCACUCGGUCGGCCCUCCGAGGUCGGCGGCAGGCAAAGGCGUCAGCGAGCGGCAGUUUCUCUGCGCUCCUGCUCCCCCCGCUUCAGGCUUUCGUCGUUGCUACGGAGUGUUCAUUCACGAAGAGCAGCGGCGGGGGCGCCGACGGGGCGGCUCUGUUGUCGCUGUGGCGGUGUUUGGGAAAGCUGCAGCUGCUGAUCGGGCGGUAGUUGUUGUUGUCGCUGAAGACAAUACGGGGGUUCGUCGACGAUCUAAAGCGGA
rnacentral:rRNA from 1 species